UGGGGAAUAUUGCACAAUGGGGGAAACCCUGAUGCAGCGACGCCGCGUGAACGAAGAAGGCCUUCGGGUCGUAAAGCUCUUUUAUGAGGGAAGAUAAUGACGGUACCUCAAGAAAAAGCCCCGGCUAACUACGUGCCAGCAGCCGCGGUAAUACGUAGGGGGCUAGCGUUGUCCGGAAUCACUGGGCGUAAAGGGUUCGCAGGCGGAAUAACAAGUCAGAUGUGAAAGGCAUGGGCUCAACCCAUGUAAGCAUUUGAAACUGUAAUUCUUGAGAAGUGGAGAGGUAAGUGGAAUUCCUAGUGUAGCGGUGAAAUGCGUAGAUAUUAGGAGGAAUACCUGUGGCGAAGGCGACUUACUGGACACAAAUCUGACGCUGAGGAGCGAAAGCGUGGGGAGCGAACAGG
rnacentral:rRNA from 1 species